UGAUGCUGCAGCUGGCGUUCUCUAUGACUAUCGCUCCUAACGGUACAACAACACCACCUCCUGUGUCGACUGCUCCUCCAAGUUCAGGACCUUCAGGCGCGCAAAUCGGAGGGAUUAUAGGAGGUCUGAGUGGUGUCAUUGUCGUUAUUAUUGUUGUUGUUGUGACUACGUCAAAUUGGCAUCGCAAGAAAAAAGCCAACCGUGCGCGUACAGGGAACUGCUGAUGGUUGUCUGCCAGUGACUGCGAAAAGAAGGCAGAGAAUACGCCAUGGGAGAAUCACGAUCAAACUUGACUUUUGGUUUCAAUUAUUUGUUUAGGAUUAACAAUGUAAUGAUAAAAGCGAAAGCAUUUCCCACUUACUAUUGCACUGCCCAAACUAUACUAGCCGACGUUAACUUCUAUUUGACAGACUCAAAAAAUUGAAUAUCUCAACUCUUGAUAUAAAUGCCUUAUCAGAAACAGCUACAAUACAUUUGUUGAUUAGGGUUCACCUUUACUCUACAACUAAUGCUCAGGUAUUACAUAUAACUAUUUGUAUUUGUUGGUAACGAAACGCGUUUCAUAAUCAAUAGAUAUUCUGUUAUUAUAAUAUUCUUGUGUGUAUUAUUGAUUGUAUUUUGUUAGCGGUGCCAUUAGGCGUUAACAUAAGAUUUUAGCUUGAGUACGGUAUCACUGUGUGUGUAUUUUGCAUUUUCUUUAAUAAAAAAUGUAAUGAUGUGCAGAAUAAAAUUUGACUCACCAUAACAUUUACUGUAAACUGUACGUAAAUCAAUCAACCUUUUGGAUUGGCGUACUGUGUAGGUGAAAUGUAGUGUCCCCUGAAAAUAUCUAUCAUCAUCUGAUCAUUUGUCAUCCUCUAUGAGUUGCAGCAAGUGAAGUUUGACUUCCAGUAUACAGUCUGUCAUACAUAUCGCUGUGAGAAGUAAAAAUCGAUGUGAAAAUAUCUAGAUUACUGGUUAUAAGUAGCGUUUCUUUAUAAAGAUGCAUGAUGACCCCCA